GGGUCGUUAGCUCAGUAGGAAGAGCACCGGAUUUUUAAUCCGGGAGCCGUGGGUUCGACUCCCGCACGACCCACUA
rnacentral:tRNA from 1 species